rnacentral:rRNA from 1 species
AACGAACGCUGGCGGCAUGCCUAACACAUGCAAGUCGAACGAUCUCUUCGGAGAUAGUGGCGCACGGGUGCGUAACGCGUGGGUAUCUGCCCUAGGGUGCGGAAUAACAGUUAGAAAUGACUGCUAAUACCGCAUAAUGUCUUCGGACCAAAGAUUCAUCGCCCUUGGAUGAGCCCGCGUAAGAUUAGCUAGUUGGUGGGGUAAAGGCCUACCAAGGCGACGAUCUUUAGCUGGUCUGAGAGGAUGAUCAGCCACACUGGGACUGAGACACGGCCCAGACUCCUACGGGAGGCAGCAGUGGGGAAUAUUGGACAAUGGGGGAAACCCUGAUCCAGCAAUGCCGCGUGAGUGAUGAAGGCCUUAGGGUUGUAAAGCUCUUUUACCAGGGAUGAUAAUGACAGUACCUGGAGAAUAAGCUCCGGCUAACUCCG